UCCAUCAUGCCAUUGUAAUACAGGGCAGGAAGGAAGGAGAGCUGAGGAGUGCUGCCAGCUGUAAAUUGCUCUCUUUCUUGCCUGGCUAUGGAAAAUAUAUAGAUACUGGGAAGAUUGUGGUGUCGGAGCAGCUAUAAAACUGUGUCCUGCAUGUCCCAAAUACCCAGCUGAAUAAACUCUCUGCAAAUUGGAAAAUGUGCACAUGAGGAGAAUGCAAAAGAUGUUCUAUGUCAUGUGUGAAAUUCUCAUCUUCAAGAGCAUGAAAUGAAAAUGAAGGACAAACAUUCAAUACUAUCUAGUUAAAAUUGGAGUUCCUUCACACGUCCUCUCCUGUCCAGAUCCACACCAUUUAUACCUCAUUUUAGAAAACAGACUGUAAGCUUCAAGAAUCACCAAAAAAAAAAAAAGAAAGAAAAAAGAAAACAGACUUCUAAAGGAUAAUAACAAAAUGCAUGAAACUAUAACAAGAAAGAAGAAAAACUAUUACAUCAGAGUUAGAUAAACCAACCAACCAAACAAUAAGCAAACAGAAGAUAAAGAGCCAAGCAAAAGCAGAAGAACCUUCCCACUCAUACAGACUGGAAUCCCUGAAAACCACUAAACCAGAAAACAUAAUACAUAUUCAAAAGA